rnacentral:rRNA from 1 species
GGACUACACGGGUAUCUAAUCCCGUUUGCUCCCCUGGCUUUCGCGCCUCAGCGUCAGGUGAGGUCCAGCACGCCGCUUUCGCCACCGGCGUUCCUUCCGAUAUCUACGCAUUUCACCGCUCCACCGGAAGUUCCGCAUGCCCCUACCUCCCUCGAGCCACCCAGUAUCAGGGGCGCUUGUCCGGUUAAGCCGAACGCUUUCACCCCUGACUUGGGCAGCCGCCUACGCGCCCUUUAAGCCCAGUGAAUCCGAACAACGUUCGCACGGUUCGUCUUACCGCGGCUGCUGGCAC